GGUGUUACAGUUCAUUACCUCUCCGUACGCUAGCAACCUCUUCCCUCUUCUUUCUCGGUUUCAUUCUUCUCGAUUGAAAUCUCCUCCCUCUUCUUUGUUCUUGAUUUUUACCAUCUUCAUCAAUUCCGCACACUAACAUGAUAUGAUUGAAUUAAUUCCAAAUUGUUUCACAGAAAUCUCACAAUAACAAAUACCCCAGAAGUUCAAAUCAAACCCAAAAUUUUGAGAGAGUUUGAAAAUUGGGAUGAACUAAUUGAAUUAAGUUUACAGUCAGAAUAGUUGGAAAUCUCAGUUUGGGGUUAGGGCUUCCCGUUUCAGUUAGGGUUUCCCAAGCUUUUCUCUCCAGUUCAAAGGGCUUCACGAUGCUCAUAGUCUUCUGCUAAAUCGGCUAACAAGAAAUUUGGGUCUAAAUGUUCGAUUACAGAGGGGCAAGUCAAAAGUUGAAGCAAGAGUCGAUGGUAAUGUAGGGUAAAAAUAGAUCUGUAUUUCACAAAAGGCUAAACAAUUGAGUGAAGCGGAAAGAGAAGAGAUUCUUAAAAAACAACGUGAUGCUUAUUAUUUGCGGACAAUAGGAGAUUGACAUGCGAAUAAAGAUGGGAAGGAAGCAUCAACAUGUUCUGACAUCUUCUUAAAGGUUUGAUGUGGAGAUGCGUUAGAAUGCUCUUUUCUGAAGCACCAAUUACUUAUCAUUUCUUAUCAGUCAUGAAAAACUUUACAUAUCUUACAAUCGUGCACUUCCCCAGCUUCUAGGUAACAAUUGGAGAACGAUUUUAAUUGAUAGACUAGGUUAGCUAGCAAGGAUCACUGAGAGAUGGCGAUCUGAUUAAUGAUUCUUUACGUCUCUUUUAAAAUACAGGCUUUAUAUUGGAGUGUCAAUCGAAGUUAAUCUCAUUUUCUGUCCUUUCCUCCAACCAGUUACUUUGUAUGAACUGAACUAAACCAGAUCAACCUUUUGUUGUUCUACACAUCCCCACCUCUGUAUGUAAUUUUCCACACAUUUCUAACACAAGGUUAUGCCAACUUGAUUUUAUUUUUUCAUUAAAAAAGAUGAUUUUCUUAUCAUUUCUUAUGGAGUUUGAAUUUUCUUUUUUUACGAAAAAACAAAAUUGCGGAACAGAAAGUCAGGCACAUCGCGGGCGUGCGUGUUAUAUUAGUACUAAUAUAUAAAUAUAAAGAAAAGAGAUAAUUGUUUGGUGAAGCCUUUUCUUAGUGAAUUUUUUUCAUGUCACAAAAAUACCCCCCGGAUUUUUGAUUUUUCUUCAUAAAGUCACAUAAUAAAGAAAAUGUAGAGAGGAUAGAUCUGUAAAAUGCUGACAUAAAAACUCUUAUUUUUUUCCUUUCCCUUUUCAUCUUUCUUUAGUAUCCAAAGAAGAAACUUCUUCAUUCAAAAAUCGGGGAUAACAGAGUUAUCCAUGAAAACAUCCUCCUUCAAAAGAAAAAAUGCAUGAAAACAUCCCUCUUCUUCGUUCUCCUCGAUUAACAGAUUCUUUUCACCUGAUGUAAGUCAUAAAUUAGGGGUUCUGAUUUCAUUAACAAGUUAGGGUUUCUGCUUCGAUUAGGGUUUCAAUUAUGUAGACCCGGAUGAUUUAGAUUCACAAUUUUGGGGUUUUAAGAAAGAUCAAAUUCAUCGUAACUUCAAAUAGGUAAUCUGUUAGUAAUGGAGGUGGUGGUGAUAGAAGAAGAAGGAUAAAGAGGAGUUAAUUGUAGCAACAAGUCGGAUUACCAGAUACAUAGACAUAGCAGCUGUCUUUGAAAUGCAAAAAAGGGAAUUCCAUUGGCAAUAUACUCUGAGAAGUCUAAGUUGCCCAUCAAUUAAUACUUGGGAUUCCAACCGGAAGUGAGGAAGGUAUACUCGAAAUUAAAUUUCUGAGACUGGGAGGUUUGUAAGAGAAAGCAGUUGAAAAGAUUUCUUGGCGAGACCAACUUGCUGCUGAUCAUUUUAGUGAGAAAACGUUCUAGGCCAAGGAGGUUUAGGAAGGUAUAUAGAGGAGUCUGUGGAGAUAAUACAAUAAUAAUUGUAAAACGAUUGAUGAUUAUUGUACAUGUAUUUGGUUUGAUCGAUGUUUUUUUAGGAUGUAUGUGUGUAUAUGUUGGAGAAACUAUAAGAUAGUCCACAUUACUAACUCCUAAGUCUAGAUCUUAAUAUAUAAGGUGGUGAGCCACUCUACUCAUUA